AACCGAUCUCAGCCAUCUGUUUUUUACAGCAGGGUAUAAAAGGUAGCAGGCCAUCGGUAGAAACCCUAGCCGCCACUCCCCUCACGUGCCCCUGUCUAUUCCCGCAGCCAAUCUCUUGCCCGUGUAUCUCCCCCAAUCCACGCCUCCAUCUCUCCCCCAAACUACAUCUCCAUCUCUCCUCCAAUCCCUUCACCUCCAUUUGUUUCUCCAUGGCUGAAGAAGGGAGAGGCAAACGGGAGCAUCACCCCAUGGAUGAGGAGGCGGAGCUUCGCCAUUGCCGGGAGCAGCACCGCCUCGCCGGUCAAGGAUGGGAGGUCGACAGUGGCGGCGGUCGGACGGCUUCAUCCUCGACUUCCAAAAACCGUGGUGGGGCUGGACAAGACAUAUGUGCAGAGGUGCUUCUCCGUCUUUGACUUCCUCGAAUCCCCUUCUCCCGGCCCCCACGACAUCUCCUGGUUUUCUCCAUGGUGGAGCUCCACCCAUCUUGCACGUUUGAGAUAUGUUGUGCUGGACUGUUUGGCCUUCUUCACUCGCCGGCCAGCAGCGCAACAUAGUGGAGGUUCUGGAGAGAUGGAGAUGAAAAUGGCGAUGGAUUAGCACUUAUGGUGGCUAGGAUGUAUAGAAUUGUUGUUCUUCUGGAGGCACAAGUCACCUGCACUAAACCCAGUGUAUUGGCUCGAUUAUAAAAAACAUAUGAAAUCCUCCCCCACAGGUAGGUGAGUACCGCCACUUGGAAAUAAUCAGAACCAGGGUAUAAAGGCGGGCAAAGAAACAAGGCAAAGCCACAAAAUGAAAACGGUAUAUGUUCUUCCUAUCGCCCAUUAGAGCUAUUCUCUUGAUGACAGUUCACUAGGAUUAUUGAUUCCAUUGUUUGGUGUUCCUCAUCUCAAAAUGGAUUCAAAUAAGGUCAAGGCCCUAAGGAUGUUGACGCUGAAUACUAUGAACAACAGUGCAAAUGCUAGAGGGUUUUAAUGAAAUGGAUGUGCUAACAGAUCGUGGUUUUCUUCCUGAAAUAUCCAAGGAUUAGGAUCUCAAGCAGCUACAUCCAGAUGUCUGCAUAUGACAGCUACAGAUGUUCGAUGCUCAGGCUAUCUAGAAGAGUUUUAUCAGCCGUUAGCCGUUAGUUUCAUGUUAACCUGCAAGAUCUGAUGCGCUAUGAGAAAACACUAUCUAUAGGUUCUGAUAAAUGUCUACCUAUCGACUGAUAUUGUACCAUGAACUUUCCUAUUUGGUGAUCAUGUGGGUGCUUAUCAGCGAUCUACGCCUUGACUACGUAAAGCGUAUUGUUGGGAAGGUAAAGUAACUAUGCAGGCUCUCGGACGAUCUUAAUUUGCAUGAAAUCAUUUUUGUAUUGUGAUUUAGUUUUGCUGAUUGAGCUGGAAUUAAUCAUCUAUCACCAAACCUUCUACCUGGAGCAUGCUUGUAUGAUUCUGAUGUCGGUAGUAGCAACGACCAGCAUUGGUGGUGAUUGUAUGAUUUGUUGCCGUAUGUGGAUAUAUGUUCUAUUUGAUUUCUUCCUAAACUUCGGAGAUGAAUUGUAGCCCGCGGCCUCUUCUACUGCACACCCAAGGGUGACAAGCUCCACUGACUAGCAUCUUAGAUGCCCCUCGGCCACAUCGUCGCGUGAGUAAGCUUCAACCGAAUAAAUCUAGAAGGGGAGCUGGCCAUGGAAUUCGGAAGGACAAAGACUCAAGAACAGAUAUUUUCAACGAAGAACCGCCAAAGCCUGAGGCAUGUUACAUUGGUACCCAAUAAAAAUUUGAUCCAAAGCCUGAGGCAUGUUACAUUGGUACCCAAUAAAAAUUUGAUUGCGUCAUACAAGAUAUGAGUGACUAAUCCAGUCAUCCAGAUGACUUCAAUGCAAAUAGGGUAAGGCAUUGUUCUUGCAGGCCAUUUAUUCUAUCUUAUUUCUUGUGGCUUUGAUCUACAAGAUAGACAAUCGUAUGUAUCAUGUAAAUGGGGAAUUUUUCCUCUUUCAUCUGUAUUACAAAAGACACUUUCAGUUUUAUUUUUUUGCUAUUUGCUUAUGUAGUAGCUGGUUCAUGUGCCCAUGUUGUCCGUUAGAUCGCUAGGACAGCAUAUAUGACUAUUUAUUUUCUAAAGUUUAGUAACCUAUGUACCGAAGUCUGAUUCACAGCGGCUAUUUGAGGAAAAAAGGUAGACCAACAUGUUAAUCCUGAAACACAGAUUUUGGAAGGGAUCGUUGUUCUAAAGUAGGCAAGAUUAUUGAGGCAUCUGCAAUAGCCUAAAAUCUUGGGAUUUUUUCCCAUGCAUGUCUUCAGUUCUAGGCCAUGAAAGAAUAGUUCAAUAAUUAUGCAUACAAUGUUUGUGUUCAGCUAUCUACUUAUCUUACAUAUAGUUCAGCAGGGUGUGCCCACAUACCCUGUCAAAUAUUCUUCAACCGCACACAAGUUACAUGGUACAAGAAUUAGCAGUAAUUUUCUUAAUGAAGUUAUUGAGAUGAAGCUUCAUAUAAAAAAAAGUGACCCAACUCAUUGCCCUUUGCAAAGUAUGUUACUUUCCCUCUGCAUGCUUGGUCAAUUUGGUAGAAACAGUUAUGUUCAUCAAGGGGAUUAUUGGUCUGAAUACUUCAUGCUAUAUAUCUGCAACUUUUUUUGGUUUUCAAAAGGAAAAUUACAUAUGCUUUUCAUGUGCAUAGUUAAUCGGUAAGAUCUAAGAUGGACCUACUCUGAUUAUGUAGUUCAGUGACUAAAGCUCUACUAACUACAAGCUCUGUUUAUGUAGUUCAGGGACUAAAGCUCUACUAACUACAAGCUCUGUUUAUGUAGUUCGGGGACUAAACUGAUUAGCAUUUUAACCUCUGAACUUUUACGUAACUGACAACUAUGGAGGGGCAUUCCUAAGAGAGAUAAUCUAAAGUAAUGUUGGCCUCACCACUAACGGAAAAAUUUAGUGUCCAGCCUACAGGUUAAAGUAAACUACGAUUGUACAAAAUGCUUACAGCCCAUAUAUAAGAAUAGUCUGCAUAGAGUUUCCAGUUAAAUUAUUCUUCAAAGUUUCCUUUGCCUGAUAGCAAGUAGUAACUAUAUCUAUUCCUGUUGCAUAUUCUUUAUUGUUUUCACCUAUUACAUUUUUUAUUACAUAAAAAACAUAGGAAUUUUGUAGUUAGUCGAUCUAAAUAUGUACAUUUCUCGUGGCGCAUUCUUAUGGUAAUGCUUACAAGUAAUAAUACAGUUAUAGAAGACACUCUUCCAAACAAAUUUGAAGCUACAUUUUGCUAGAUAAACGCACAAAUAAUUCAGUCACAUAAUACACUGCUAUGCUAAUAAUGCGAAAAUUCAACAAAUUUCCGCUACGAAAAAAACACCUCAACAAACUUGCAGUAGGAAAGCUAAUAGCAGCAACUUAUAAUCAAGCAACAGAAGCAUACCAGACCAUUAAUCCCUUCACGACGGAUAGCGGCAAGGACCAGCAAUCGUUGCCUGCGCUGAAGUUGACGGCCACCGCCUCUGUCCAGACGCAACUUCCUGAUACGUCUCCGACGUAUCGAUAAUUUCUUAUGUUCCAUGCCACAUUAUUGAUGAUAUCUACAUGUUUUAUGCAUACUUUACAUCAUAUUUAUGCAUUUUCUGGAACUAACCUAUUAACAAGAUGCCGA